rnacentral:rRNA from 1 species
GAACGAAAUCAUAAGAAUCAGAUGAAAAAUAUAUAUUGAUAGUUUUGAUCAAUGAAAAUAAUGUAGAAAUUAGUAUAAUUUUUUUAACUUUAUCCAUUGUUUGUAAAUGGAAGAUAAGGAACUAGGCAAAUUAAUUAUUAGGCUGUUUAUUAAAAACAUAGUUCAAAGAAUUUAAUUUGAAUGUUAACUGCUCAAUGAUUUAUCAAUUAAAUAGAUUGAAUAUAUCAAAGUAACAUAAUAAUCUGUCUCUUAAUUAGGGAAUAGUAUGAAUGUUUACACUAAAUAAUCACUGUCUCAUUUUUGCUAUUAAAAUUUAAUCAUAAAGUGAAGAAGCUUUAAUUUAACAGAAAGACGAGAAGACCCUAGUAAUUUAAAAUUAAGAUAAUNNNNNNCAUAUUUUUAGUUGGGGUAACUAAAGAAAUUCAUUCUUGAUAUUGAU